rnacentral:rRNA from 1 species
UAGUCCACGCCGUAAACGAUGAUCACUCGGUGUCGCGGAUUUAUCUGCGGUGCCCAAGCUAACGCGUUAAGUAUCCCGCCUGGGGAGUACGGUCGCAAGGCUAAAACUCAAAGGAAUUGACGGGGGCCCGCACAAGCGGUGGAGUAUGUGGUUUAAUUCGAAGCAACGCGCAGAACCUUACCUACCCUUAACAUUUCACGACGUAUACAGAGAUGUAUAUUUCUCUUCGGAGACGUGAGGAUAGGUGCUGCAUGGCUGUCGUCAGCUCGUGUCGUAAGAUGUCUGGUUAAGUCCAAUAACGAGCGCAACCCUUAUCCUUAGUUACCAGCAUUAAGUUGGGGACUCUAGGGAGACUGCCGGUGUUAAACCGGAGGAAGGCGGGGAUGACGUCAAGUCCUCAUGGCCCUUACGGGUAGGGCUACACACGUACUACAAUGGCAGAUACAAACCGUUUGCAAAGCCGCGAGGUUGAGCUAAUCGGUAAAACACUGUCCCAGUCCGGAUUGGAGUCUGCAACUCGACUCCA